UCCCAUCCCGCGAAAUGUCGCCGAUUGUGGCGGCGCCGCCCCGUCUGGAAGUGAUGACGAUAAGGCUAGCGGGGUGGGUUGCA
rnacentral:ncRNA from 1 species